rnacentral:lncRNA from 1 species
CAGGAUUUUUCUUUGCAGCUGUUACUGCUCCAAAUUCUGGCACAGUGAUUGGACACUGGAUAGAAGCUAUUGUCACCUUUCCUGAGAACUGGAAAGCAAAGCCCAUAAUUUCUGAAAAUCUAUUCUGAAAAUCUGAAAAUGCUCUCUUCUGACUGACACUUUAAGGACAAUCUUUAUUUUGGAAGAGGACGGGAGAAGAUAUGUCCUACUUACCGAACUUCAGCAUACUUCUGUUAUCAUUAAAUCUCUGACUCAGCUCUUAAGACAGGAAGUUUUGUAUGAAGCAUAUUUUCAAGAAUUACAAGGCAUUGUGAAGCAGCCGCAUUUUUGCUUAUACUUGGGGACAGUCAUACGGAGAUCAAAUGUAAAAAUCAUUCAUUCUGCCUCUGCUGAUAACAAAUAUAUAUAUGUGUUCAUCUCCAUUUCUAGAAUCCCUUGCAGAAGGAUGCUUUUCAAACAUCCCUAUGGAAUAAAGGCAAUCACUGAUAGGAUAAUGGCAAUAAUUGUCUGCAGCUGUGAUCCCUUGAAACAAAUUU